UUAUUUAAUGGCCGCGGUAUUUUGACCGUGCAAAGGUAGCAUAAUCAUUAGUCUAUUAAUUGUGGACUUGUAUGAAUGGUUGGACGAAAUAUUAACUGUCUCAAUUUAAAUAAUAUAAUUUAAAUUUUAAGUUAAAAUGCUUAAAUUUUUUUAUGGGACGAGAAGACCCUAUAGAUCUUUAUUAUUUAAAUUAUUAUAUUUUUUAGUUUAUAUAUUUAUUAUUAUUUAGGUUGUUUUGUUGGGGUGACAUAAAGAUAUAAUUAACUCUUUAUUUUUUUUAUACAAUUAUUUUUGUUUUAAUGACCUUUUAUUAUUGUUAUAAGAUAUAGAUACCUUAGGGAUAACAGCGUAAUUUUUUUUAAGAGUUCUUAUCGACAAUAAAGAUUGCGACCUCGAUGUUGGAUUAAGAUAAUUGUUAGGUGUAGGUGCUUAACUAUUAGGUCUGUUCGACCUUUAAAUUCUUACAUGAUCUGAGUCA
rnacentral:rRNA from 1 species